UACGUAGGGGGCAAGCGUUGUCCGGAUUUAUUGGGCGUAAAGAGCGUGUAGGCGGUUUGGUAGGUCCGUUGUGAAAACUCGAGGCUCAACCUCGAGACGCCGAUGGAAACCAUCAGACUAGAGUCCGGAAGAGGAGAGUGGAAUUCCUGGUGUAGCGGUGAAAUGCGCAGAUAUCAGGAAGAACACCCGUGGCUAAGGCGGCUCUCUAGUACGGUACUGACGCUGAGACGCGAAAGCGUGGGGAGCGAAUGGG
rnacentral:rRNA from 1 species